rnacentral:rRNA from 1 species
GAUGAACGCUAGCUACAGGCUUAACACAUGCAAGUCGAGGGGUAACAAGAGGAAAGCUUGCUUUUCUUGUUGACGACCGGCGCACGGGUGAGUAACGCGUAUCCAACCUGCCUAUAACUAGGGAAUAACCUUGCGAAAGUAAGACUAAUACCCUAUGAUUUCCUUUGAUGACAUCAGAUUAGGAAUAAAGAUUUAUCGGUUAUAGAUGGGGAUGCGUCUGAUUAGCUUGCUGGCGGGGUAACGGCCCACAAAGGCAACGAUCAGUAGGGGUUCUGGGAGGAAGGUCACCCAGAUGGGAACUGAGAAACGGUCCAAACUCCUACGGGAGGCAGCAGUGGGGAAUAUUGGUCAAUGGGCGGAAGCCUGAACCAGCCAAGUAGCGUGCAGGAUGACGGCCCUAUGGGUUGUAAACUGCUUUUAUACAGGAAUAAAGUUAGCCACGUGUGGUUAUUUGUAGGUACUGUAUGAAUAAGGACCGGCUAAUUCCGUGCCAGCCGCCGCCGUAA